AUACACAUCAACAAAGCCAAGAUUUCCAAGCCAACACCGUUUGUGAGGGAAAAGCUGUGAUAAACAAAGAGUUCAAAGAGACCAUGUAAAAUGAUUAUUGUGGAAAACCCUGGAAUUUUUCCUUUUACUCACUUGAUUUCACAUUCUGUGUUCAAACUAUUUUAUCGCUUUUGGUGAUAGAAUUGAAUGAUUUAGAUUUAUAAAUUUUAAAAGUGAUGGCAUAUUCUGUUAAUUCACAGUACACCCAUUUGACCUGAAUCAUUAUCUGUCAAAACAGAGACUUGGAUUAAUGACAAUUUCACAUAUCAGAUCUCAAAGGUUUGUGGGCAUAUCUAGAAUGCUCAGUACAUACUCUAAAAAGUUUCUUCAUUAUUGAUGAUAAAGGAAUCCCAAGACAGAUAACAAUGAAUGGCCUGCCUGUUGAUAGGUCACUUAAUGAGAUAUUCUUUUGGGUCCAAGUAUCCCAGUAUACCAACAAAUAUGGAGAGAGCUCUUACCUGCCAGUUGGAAACCCGGUAAUUAAACAAUAAUCUCAUAUCCAAAUGGAAAACUUAAAUAUUUUGAUAAACUAAUU
rnacentral:lncRNA from 1 species